ACCUAAAACUGCUCUUAACAAAACAAAGGAAAACCAAACAUCACUGCCGGUCUGGGUCUUAGUAGAGGAUCUUUGUGGGAUGGGGCCUGGAGUGGCCCAGAGGAAACCCCCAAACCACUGUCCUGACCAUGCCACAGCCUGGGAUGGUGUGGCACCAACUGUGCCCAUUCACACACUGUGACCCCAGACGAGACGUUCUCUUGGGAUCUUUCUCCCAAUGCCUGUAGCUCCCAAGAGUCUACGGUAGCAUCAAUUAGGAUUUGGAGGGUGUAAUUCUGAGGGUGAGACUAGUAAUUAGAGGAUUGUUUAAAAGACUCCUGGCGUUGUUUAAUUACUUGAGAACCAUCAGCCCAUCAUCACAGGGAUAAUGGCCCCUCUAGAGCACAGUGAAGCAACAACACUGUGUCUAUGGCUGGGGAAUCUCCUGUGAUGGGAUCUGGGAGGAAGCCCCAGCACUUCUGCUCAGGCUGCUUGGGACUCGGGCCAGGAAUUCAACAGGAAGAUGUUUGGAGAUCAUGGGAGGAGUCAGAAGAUGUGACUGGCUGCGAUGUAACUGCUGGGAGUUGAUCACCAGCUCAGACAGACAAGCUUUGGCUUGCUAUACAAAAUACCCGCCUUUCCCACUGAGUCUUUAAAGCAAGCCAAGUGGGGAGAAUGGAAUUUGUUCUUGCCAUCUUCAGGGAUGUGUGGCCUGGGAUGCAGGAGGCAAGGGAGGCACCCAGAGCGCCAGUGUUUAGGAGAUUCAGGAAUGCAGACUUGGUACCCAGGAGCCUUUUGCACCCCAGCAGGAGCCUGGCUGGGGCUGCAAGAAGCAGCUGUGGCAGCUGAGUGAGAGGGGAAACUCUUACUAGAAUAUUUGGGCUGGCAAGUGACACCACUUCUGCUCUGAGAUAAGAUGGAGACUUUUCCAAGCUAUGUUUUAAAAUCAUAAAAAAACAGAGUCUCCUGCUGGAGAUAAGAUAUAAGUUGGUGUGGAGCAUCUGGGAGCUGUAAAAGAGGAGGGUUAUACCAGCAUUACUGAGGUUAUUACUGAAACCAAGAUUAUAAGUAAUUAAAGUUUUGAAAGUUUUCUCCAGGUACACAAUAGACUACUCAGUAUGUUGGAUUCUUGAGCUGGGGUCAGGUUAACUAUUAAAAGAGGAUGAAAAGUAUUUCUAACAAACCUGACAUUUAUUUAAAACCUACCCUAUUCCUGCUGUUUUAGCAGAUAUCGCUUUAAGCUGUGGCUCUUUUCCUGGCUCUCGGGACUUCUAAUGUUGAUUCACUUCCAUGCCUACUUCAUGGUGCUUUACCUCAUUUCGAUGUUAAAUUAGCCUGCUUGUUAUCAUGCUGGAAUGGAUGGUCUUCACCACGCUGUCUCCUGGGAUCCAACAAACUCAGAGCCUUCGGAGAAACAAGGACCAACCUUCAUAGCAUUUCUUCUCCAACUAUAACUCCUUUUGCUAGAAGCAAAUGCUGGGCUUGCACGGGAGAUUCUUGUCCCCCCCUCCCUUUUUUUUUCUCAGAAAGAGCAAAUUGCAUUUUUCAUUGCAGGAGCACACAAGCCCUAACUUUCAUGUGCCUAAAAUGUUCUUUAAUCGGCGUCUUCUUUCAGUAUCUUUGAUCUGCAGGAUGUAAUCACAUUUUCCUUGAAGAUAUAAAUCAUCCAAAAAAAAAAAACACAGAAGAGGAGAAAUGCCCUUAAAUAGCUUCUCAAAGUGAAUUAAAAAUGUAAAUUAAUUAUUUUGUAUUAUUUCCUAUGUCUCCCAUCUCGAUCUCCUGUUU
ensembl:lncRNA